rnacentral:rRNA from 1 species
GUGCAGCAGUCGCGAAACUUCACAAUGUGCGAAAGCACGAUGAGGGAAUCCCAAGUGCUUGCACGUAAGUGUAAGCUGUUUCUCUGUCUAAAACGCAGAGAGAGUAAGGGCUGGGUAAGACGGGUGCCAGCCGCCGCGGUAAUACCUGCAGCUCGAGUGGUGACCGUUAUUAUUGGGCCUAAAACGUCCGUAGCCGGUUUAAUAAAUGCCUGGGUAAAUCGGACCGCUUAACGGUUCGAAUUCCGGGUAGACUGUUAAACUUGAGACCGGGAGAAGUUAGAGGUACUCCUGGGGUAGAGGUGAAAUUCUGUAAUCCUAGGGGGACCACCAGUGGCGAAGGCGUCUAACUAGAACGGGUCUGACGGUGAGGGACGAAGCCCUGGGGCGCAAACGGGGAUUAGAUACCCCUGUAGU